GAUGAACGCUGGCGGCGUGCCUAAUACAUGCAAGUCGAGCGAACAGACGAGGAGCUUGCUCCUCUGACGUUAGCGGCGGACGGGUGAGUGACACGUGGAUAACCUACCUAUAAGACUGGGAUAACUUCGGGAAACCGGAGCUAAUACCGGAUAAUAUAUUGAACCGCAUGGUUCAAUAGUGAAAGACGGUUUUGCUGUCACUUAUAGAUGGAUCCGCGCCGCAUUAGCUAGUUGGUAAGGUAACGGCUUACCAAGGCAACGAUGCGUAGCCGACCUGAGAGGGUGAUCGGCCACACUGGAACUGAGACACGGUCCAGACUCCUACGGGGGGCAGCAGUAGGGAAUCUUCCGCAAUGGGCGAAAGCUUGACGGAGCAACGCCGCGUGAGUGAUGAAGGUCUUCGGAUCGUAAAACUCUGUUAUUAGGGAAGAACAAAUGUGUAAGUAACUAUGCACGUCUUGACGGUACCUAAUCAGAAAGCCACGGCUAACUACGUG
rnacentral:rRNA from 1 species